UAAUUGCAUAAANCUUAAACUUUUAUAUCCAGAGAUUCAAAUCCUCUCCUUAACA
rnacentral:tRNA from 1 species